GAGCGUUUGAUCCUGGCUCAGGACGAACGCUGGCGGCGUGCUUAACACAUGCAAGUCGAGCGAUGAAAUCCCUUCGGGGAUGGAUUAGCGGCGGACGGGUGAGUAACACGUGGGCAACCUGCCUCAAAGUGGGGGAUAGCCUUCCGAAAGGGAGAUUAAUACCGCAUAAUAUUAGUUUUUCACAUGAAUUAUUAAUUAAAGGAGUAAUCCGCUUUGAGAUGGGCCCGCGGCGCAUUAGCUAGUUGGUGAGGUAACGGCUCACCAAGGCCACGAUGCGUAGCCGACCUGAGAGGGUGAUCGGCCACAUUGGAACUGAGACACGGUCCAGACUCCUACGGGAGGCAGCAGUGGGGAAUAUUGCACAAUGGGCGAAAGCCUGAUGCAGCAACGCCGCGUGAGUGAUGAAGGUCUUCGGAUUGUAAAGCUCUGUCUUUGGGGACGAUAAUGACGGUACCCAAGGAGGAAGCCACGGCUAACUACGUGCCAGCAGCCGCGGUAAUACGUAGGUGGCGAGCGUUGUCCGGAUUUACUGGGCGUAAAGGAUGCGUAGGCGGAUGUUUAAGUCAGAU
rnacentral:rRNA from 1 species